rnacentral:rRNA from 1 species
CUACGGGAGGCAGCAGUAGGGAAUCUUCCGCAAUGGGCGAAAGCCUGACGGAGCAACGCCGCGUGAGUGAUGAAGGUCUUCGGAUCGUAAAACUCUGUUAUUAGGGAAGAACAUAUGUGUAAGUAACUGUGCACAUCUUGACGGUACCUAAUCAGAAAGCCACGGCUAACUACGUGCCAGCAGCCGCGGUAAUACGUAGGUGGCAAGCGUUAUCCGGAAUUAUUGGGCGUAAAGCGCGCGUAGGCGGUUUUUUAAGUCUGAUGUGAAAGCCCACGGCUCAACCGUGGAGGGUCAUUGGAAACUGGAAAACUUGAGUGCAGAAGAGGAAAGUGGAAUUCCAUGUGUAGCGGUGAAAUGCGCAGAGAUAUGGAGGAACACCAGUGGCGAAGGCGACUUUCUGGUCUGUAACUGACGCUGAUGUGCGAAAGCGUGGGGAUCAAACAGGAUUAGAUACCCUGGUAGUCCACGCCGUAAACGAUG